rnacentral:rRNA from 1 species
UACAGAGGGUGCGAGCGUUGUUCGGAAUUACUGGGCGUAAAGCGUGCGCAGGCGGUUUUGUAAGUCAGAUGUGAAAUCCCCGGGCUUAACCUGGGAACUGCGUUUGAAACUACAAGGCUAGAGUGUGGCAGAGGGGGGUGGAAUUCCACGUGUAGCAGUGAAAUGCGUAGAGAUGUGGAGGAACACCGAUGGCGAAGGCAGCCCCCUGGGUUAACACUGACGCUCAGGCACGAAAGCGUGGGGAGCAAACAGG